rnacentral:rRNA from 1 species
GACGAACGCUGGCGGCGCGCCUAACACAUGCAAGUCGAACGGAGUCACGAGGAGCUUGCUUUUCUUGACUUAGUGGCGAACGGGUGAGUAACGCGUGAGUAACCUGCCCUGGAGUGGGGGACAACAGUUGGAAACGACUGCUAAUACCGCAUAAGCCCACGGAUCCGCAUGGAUCUGCGGGAAAAGGAUUUAUUCGCUUCAGGAUGGACUCGCGUCCAAUUAGCUAGUUGGUGAGGUAACGGCCCACCAAGGCGACGAUUGGUAGCCGGACUGGGAGGUUGAGCGGCCACAUUGGGACUGAGACACGGCCCAGACUCCUACGGGAGGCAGCAGUGGGGGAUAUUGCACAAUGGGGGAAACCCUGAUGCAGCGACGCCGCGUGGAGGAAGAAGGUUUUCGGAUUGUAAACUCCUGUCGUUAGGGACGAUAAUGACGGUACCUAACAAGAAAGCACCGGCUAACUACGUG